GGGGGAAUACUUUGACUCAUGAGGGAGAAGGGGAGGGGAAAGGCGUCUACCUAGAGGGUUUCUGUCGAUCAAGGGCGAGAGUAGGAGUAUCCCACAGGAUUAGAGACCCUGGUAGUUCCUACCUUAAACGAUGCCGACAGGAGUUUGUCAUUUGUUAAUGGCAGAAUCUUUGGAGAAAUCAUAGUUCUUGGGCUCUGGGGGAACUACGACCGCAAGGCUGAAACUUGAAGGAAUUGACGGAAGGGCACACCAGGGGUGGAGCCUGUGGCUUAAUUUGAAUCAACACGGGGAAACUUACCAGGACCAGAUGUUUUUUAUGACUGACAGGCUUCGGGUCUUUCAGGAUAUUGUUUUUGGUGGUGCAUGGCCGUUGGUGGUGCGUGGGUUGACCUGUCUAGCGUUGAUUCAGCUAACGAGCGAGAUUAUCGCCAAUUAUUUACUUUGCCGAAGUCCUUCGGUUAAAGUUCUAAUUGGGACUCCCUGCGAUUUUAGCAGGUGGAAGAGGGUAGCAAUAACAGGUCCGUGAUGCCCUUUAGAUGCUCUGGGCUGCACGCGUGCUACAAUGUUAGGAUCAAUAGGACUGCGAGCCUGAGAGGGUGCGCUACUCUUAUAAUCCCUAACGUAGUUGGGAUUGACGUUUGUAAUCAGCGUCAUGAACCAGGAAUCCCUUGUAAAUGUGUGUCAACAACGCACGUUGAAUACGUCCCUGCCCUUUGUACACACCGCCCGUCGCUCCUACCGAUUGGAUGACUCGGUGAAAUCACCGGAUGCUUACGAGCAGAAAGUGAUUAAAUCACGUUAUCUAGAGGAAGGAGAAGUCGUAACAAGGUAACGGUAGGUGAACCUGCCGUUGGAUC
rnacentral:rRNA from 1 species